AGCCGUGCGAUGAGCACACAGCGAACUAUUCUUUCGCCUUUUACUAAAGAAUACCGUGUGCUCGUCGCCAAUAGCGGCAUACGCCUAUUUUUGGGGGGGGCUCUCUCUUCGAUGGCCU